GGCUCCUGUUGUUCCGUCAGGCCCCGCCCCGCAUUCACUACGUGGAGGACGGUUUGUUGCGGUGCUCGGAGCCCAGCCGGGCUGUAGCGAGGCGGCUAACCUUGUUUGGUUUCCUCUUUGCUUAUGGACGUGGCGUGUGGAAGCACGGAGCAAACAGCGCCAUGUGCCCCGAGGGAGAGCGGCUGUGUGAGCCCUGCUCAGUGGUCCCAGCGGUGUCGUGCUGCCAUCGCGGUGGAUUCCGUUCAGAACAAACCCCAAACAUGUAGGAAAACUCUAGAAUGCCAGAAGUUAUGGAAUCCUUGCUCCAUCUCAAGAAGAGGACCAUGAUCUGAAUAGUUACAGAAGAGUUUUCUUGUCCUGCUGCUUUUACCGUAAGUUCUAAUGCAAAGAUAUUUUUAUAUUAUUAUAAAAGGAAAAAGUCACUGUCACUAUGGAAAAAUUAGUUAAUCCUGAAAUAGCAAAAUAGUGCAGACAGUUAACAUGCAAGCCUCAAAACUCCCAGCCAGUUGGAAUACGUGGUUGUGGAAAAUGAAGUUUAGAGUUGGCUAAAAUAUGUGAAAUAUUUUCCAUGUGACUUCAGCUCUGCCUAUGAUCGUUUUCACAGCUUGCUUAGCUUCCCAUUAGAUGUCCAGUAGUGUCUGUAUCCAAUAGAACACUGGGUGUUCUCAGGGUAUACCUGUUGUUGUUUGUUUCAUUUUAAAAUGUACAGAAGUGAUGCUGUUCUUCCCACUUUUGCUAUCUCCUAGGCUAAUUACUUUUUAAUUUUUAAGUAAUCAUCUUUUCUGUUUCUUCCUUUACCUGUGUUCCCUUCUGGUGAAUGUUUUAAAUUUCUAUUAUUUCUUUAUUCUCUCAUUUAUUUUUAAACUGCAUAGCUGUAUUCAGAGGUGCAAUGAGUGCGGGUAUCUGUUGUGUGGGAAGGAAAAACCCCAACAGACUGAACUAUUAUAUUUUAUAAAACAAAUUUUGUUCUUAUUACUUAAAAACAAUACAAAAAGUCCAAACCACACUCCUACUAAAUUUGAAUAUUCAGUAAAAUUACAAUUUCUUCCAUGUUCAUCACAGGAAAAUCUUCUUAGGUUUUCUCUUGUCGAACAUAUUUGAAGUAUUUGACUAGCAAAACUGCAGU
rnacentral:lncRNA from 1 species